GACGAACGCUGGCGGCGUGCUUAACACAUGCAAGUCGAACGGAAAGGCCCUGCUUUUGUUGUGUGCUCGAGUUGCUAAAGUGUGAGUCACACGUGUAUAACCUGCCCUUUCUUUUGGGAUCACUUCUGGAAACUGGGGCUACUACCUCAUAUUCGCUCCUGCUGCAUAGUGUGGGUUGUAUGGUUUCGGGGGUUGGUGUUGUACUCGCGGGUUAUCAGAUUGUUGGUCGGGUAGUGGGUUCGCUAGUCUUUUACGGAGAGCCGGCCUGAUAGGGUGCCCGGACACAUGGGGACGGAGAUACGGCCAAGACUCCUACGGGAGGCAGCAGUGGGGAAUAUUGCACAAUGGGAGGAAGCCUGAUGGAGCAACGCCGCGUGCGGGAUGACGGCCUUCGGGUGGUAAACCGCAUGCGCCUGUGACGAAGCGUGAGUGACGGUAAUGGGUAAAGAAGCACCGGCUAACUACGUG
rnacentral:rRNA from 1 species